rnacentral:rRNA from 1 species
UCAUGAUUUAGCCAGAAAAUCUCAAGCAAAGAGCACUUUAGUUUGAUUCCCCGAAACUACGUGAGCUACUCCAAGACAGCCUAACAUAGGGCAAACCCGUCUCUGUGGCAAAAGAGUGGGAAGAGCUUUGAGUAGAGGUGACAGACCUACCGAACCUAGUUAUAGCUGGUUGCCUGAGAAAUGAAUAGAAGUUCAGCCUAUCGGAUUCUUCCCUCACCUUUAUAAUUUUUACAACAACCAAAAGAAACCGAAAGAGUUAGUCAAAGGGGGUACAGCCCCUUUGACACAAGACACAACUUUUCCAGGAGGGUAAAGAUCAUACUCAAACACCAAGGUAAGAUGUUUUGGUGGGCCUAAAAGCAGCCACCCCUACAGAAUGCGUUAAAGCUCAAACAUACCUACCACCCAUAAUCCUGACAACCCUAUCUUAACCCCCUAACCCUACCAGGCCAUCCCAUGCAAACAUGGGAGUGACCAUGCUAAUAUGAGUAAUAAGAGAGCAUUAGCCUCUCUCCCUGCAC